rnacentral:rRNA from 1 species
CAGCAUGUCCCGUAGCAAUACGGGAUGAUGGCGACCGGCAAACGGGUGCGGAACACGUACACAACCUUCCUUUAAGUGGGGAAUAGCCCGGGGAAACCCGGAUUAAUACCCCGUAACAUAUUGACUCGGCAUCGGGUUAAUAUUAUAGCUCCGGCGCUUAAUGAUGGGUGUGCGCCUGAUUAGGUAGUUGGCGGGGUAAUGGCCCACCAAGCCUUCGAUCAGUAACUGGUGUGAGAGCACGACCAGUCACACGGGCACUGAGACACGGGCCCGACUCCUACGGGAGGCAGCAGUAAGGAAUAUUGGUCAAUGGACGCAAGUCUGAACCAGCCAUGCCGCGUGGAGGAUGAAGGUCCUCUGGAUUGUAAACUUCUUUUAUCUGGGACGAAAAAGGGUCUUUCUAGACCACCUGACGGUACCAGAUGAAUAAGCACCGGCUAACUCCGUGCCAGCAGCCGCGGUAAUACGGAGGGUGCAAGCGUUAUCCGGAUUCACUGGGUUUAAAGGGUGCGUAGGUGGGUCUGUAAGUCAGUGGUGAAAUCCCCGAGCUUAACUUGGGAACUGCCAUUGAUACUAUAGAUCUUGAAUACUGUGGAGGUCAGCGGAAUAUGUCAUGUAGCGGUGAAAUGCUUAGAUAUGACAUAGAACACCAAUUGCGAAGGCAGCUGGCUACACAAAUAUUGACACUGAGGCACGAAAGCGUGGGGAUCAAACAGGAUUAGAUACCCUGGUAGUCCACGCCCUAAGCUAUGGAUACUCGACAUUUGCGAUACACUGCAAGUGUCUGAGCGAAAGCAUUAAGUAUCCCACCUGGGAAGUACGAUCGCAAGAUUGAAACUC